rnacentral:ncRNA from 1 species
CAAAGGCUUGGUCCUGACUUUGCUAUCAGCUUUGGCCCCAUUUAUACAUGCAAGUAUCCGCACCCCCGUGAGAAUGCCCUCAAUCCUCUGCCCGAGAACAAGGAGCAGGCAUCAGGCACAUAAUCUGGCCCAAGACGCCUUGCUAUGCCACACCCUCAAGGGAAUUCAGCAGUAAUAAAUAUUAAGCCAUGAGUGAAAACUCGACCUAGUUAAGGCCACAAGGGUCGGUAAAAUUCGUGCCAGCCACCGCGGUUAUACGAAAGACCCUAGUUGAUUGACACGGCGUAAAGGGUGGUUAGGGAUAGCCCACAAAUAAGGCUAAAGAUCCUCUAGGCUGUCAUACGCUUCCCGAGGAGACGAAACCCCCAUACGAAAGUAGCCUUAAAAUAAACUUGACACCACGAAAGCCAAGAAACAAACUGGGAUUAGAUACCCCACUAUGCUUGGCUGUAAACCCAGAUGUACCUUCACAUAUACAUCCGCCCGGGUACUACGAGCACAGCUUAAAACCCAAAGGACUUGGCGGUGUCUCAGACCCACCUAGAGGAGCCUGUUCUAGAACCGAUAACCCCCGUUAAACCUCACCACUCCUUGCUUUUUCCGCCUAUAUACCGCCGUCGUCAGCUUACCCUAUGAAGGCAUAACAGUAAGCAAAAUGGGCAAACCCAAAAACGUCAGGUCGAGGUGUAGCGUACGAAGUGGGAAGAAAUGGGCUACAUUUUCUUUAAUUUGAAGAAUAUUACGAACGGCACCAUGAAAUAAGUGCCUGAAGGUGGAUUUAGUAGUAAAAAGUAAGCAGAGCGUUCUUUUGAAUUAGGCUCUGAGACGCGCACACACCGCCCGUCACUCUCCCCAAUGAACACAACCCAAGAUCACUAAUAAUAUACACAUCAACGCGGGGAGGCAAGUCGUAACAUGGUAAGUGUACCGGAAGGUGCACUUGGACUAAU